GACAGGGGUGCCAAGCGUUAGGCGGAAUCACUGGGCUUAAAGCGUGUGUAGGCGGAUCGUUAAGUGUUUUGUGAAAUCCCACGGCUUAACCGUGGAACUGCUUGGCAUACUGGCGGUCUUGAGCCAUCUAGGGGUCGCUGGAACAAACGGUGGAGCGGUGAAAUGCGUAGAUAUCGUUUGGAACGCCAAUGGUGAAAACAGGCGACUGGGGAUGUGCUGACGCUGAGACACGAAAGCCAGGGGAGCAAACGGG
rnacentral:rRNA from 1 species